rnacentral:tRNA from 1 species
ACUUAAAUAGUUUAAUGAAAAAUUUCAGUUUGUGGUACUGAGGAUAUAAAUUUUAUUUUAAGUU